rnacentral:rRNA from 1 species
GUGGGGAAUUUUGGACAAUGGGCGCAAGCCUGAUCCAGCAAUGCCGCGUGCAGGAAGAAGGCCUUCGGGUUGUAAACUGCUUUUGUACGGAACGAAACGGUCCUGGCUAAUAUCCGGGGCUAAUGACGGUACCGUAAGAAUAAGCACCGGCUAACUACGUGCCAGCAGCCGCGGUAAUACGUAGGGUGCGAGCGUUAAUCGGAAUUACUGGGCGUAAAGCGUGCGCAGGCGGUGCUGUAAGACAGGCGUGAAAUCCCCGGGCUCAACCUGGGAAUUGCGCUUGUGACUGCAGUGCUGGAGUGCGGCAGAGGGGGAUGGAAUUCCGCGUGUAGCAGUGAAAUGCGUAGAGAUGUGGAGGAACACCGAUGGCGAAGGCAGCCCCCUGGGCCAAUACUGACGCUCAUGCACGAAAGCGUGGGGAGCAAACAGGAUUAGAUACCCGGGUAGUCC